UACGUAGGGGGCAAGCGUUGUCCGGAUUUAUUGGGCGUAAAGAGCGCGUAGGCGGCUUUGCAAGUCCGUUGUGAAAACUCGAGGCUCAACCUCGAGACGCCGGUGGAAACUGCAAAGCUAGAGUCCGGAAGAGGAGAGUGGAAUUCCUGGUGUAGCGGUGAAAUGCGCAGAUAUCAGGAAGAACACCCGUGGCGAAGGCGGCUCUCUGGGACGGUACUGACGCUGAGACGCGAAAGCGUGGGGAGCGAACAGG
rnacentral:rRNA from 1 species